UUGUGUUUGUGUGUCUACACUCACAGCUCUCUCUAAGAGGAGACACAGGACUCAGACUGAGGCAGUUUAUGAAGAGAUUGAUCACAGACACACAAUUCAGUGGAGUUUCAUCUCUGAAGAACAGAAUUAUGAAUAUGAAGAUGAAGGUGAAUCUGUUUCAGAAUCCAUAACUGAAUAUGAUAAUGAUGUCCCUACUGGCAGUGGGAUGAAAG